rnacentral:rRNA from 1 species
GGGUCCGCACAAGCGGUGGAGUAUGUGGUUUAAUUCGAUGAUACGCGAGGAACCUUACCUGGGCUAGAAUGCUAUUUGACCGGUCCUGAAAGGGAUUUUUGUAGCAAUACACAGAUAGUAAGGUGCUGCAUGGCUGUCGUCAGCUCGUGCCGUGAGGUGUUGGGUUAAGUCCCGCAACGAGCGCAACCCCCAUCUUCAGUUGCCAGCACGUAAUGGUGGGAACUCUGAAGAAACUGCCGUCGUAAGACGCGAGGAAGGAGGGGAUGAUGUCAAGUCAUCAUGGCCUUUAUGCCCAGGGCUACACACGUACUACAAUGGGGAGGACAAAGGGCAGCGACCUGGUAACAGGAAGCGAAUCUCAAAAACCUCUUCUCAGUUCAGAUUGAGGUCUGCAACUCGACCUCAUGAAGCUGGAAUCGCUAGUAAUCGCGCAUCAGCAAUGGCGCGGUGAAUACGUUCCCGGACCUU